AGAGUUUGAUCCUGGCUCAGAGCGAACGCUGGCGGCAGGCCUAACACAUGCAAGUCGAGCGCCCCGCAAGGGGAGCGGCAGACGGGAGAGUAACACGUGGGAACGUACCCUUUGGUUCGGAACAACCCAGGGAAACUUGGGCUAAUACCGAAUAAGCCCUUACGGGGAAAGAUUUAUCGCCGAAGGAUCGGCCCGCGUCUGAUUAGCUAGUUGGUGAGGUAACGGCUCACCAAGGCGACGAUCAGUAGCUGGUCUGAGAGGAUGAUCAGCCUCACUGGGACUGAGACACGGCCCAGACUCCUACGGGAGGCAGCAGUGGGGAAUAUUGGACAAUGGGCGCAAGCCUGAUCCAGCCAUGCCGCGUGGGUGAUGAAGGCCCUAGGGUUGUAAAGCCCUUUCGGCGGGGAAGAUAAUGACGGUACCCGCAGAAGAAGCCCCGGCUAACUACGUGCCAGCAGCCGCGGUA
rnacentral:rRNA from 1 species